CUUGCUUCUCUUGAGAGCGGCGGACGGGUGAGUAAUGCCUAGGAAUCUGCCUGGUAGUGGGGGAUAACGUCCGGAAACGGACGCUAAUACCGCAUACGUCCUACGGGAGAAAGCAGGGGACCUUCGGGCCUUGCGCUAUCAGAUGAGCCUAGGUCGGAUUAGCUAGUUGGUGGGGUAAUGGCUCACCAAGGCGACGAUCCGUAACUGGUCUGAGAGGAUGAUCAGUCACACUGGAACUGAGACACGGUCCAGACUCCUACGGGAGGCAGCAGUGGGGAAUAUUGGACAAUGGGCGAAAGCCUGAUCCAGCCAUGCCGCGUGUGUGAAGAAGGUCUUCGGAUUGUAAAGCACUUUAAGUUGGGAGGAAGGGCAGUAAAUUAAUACUUUGCUGUUUUGACGUUACCGACAGAAUAAGCACCGGCUAACUCUGUGCCAGCAGCCGCGGUAAUACAGAGGGUGCAAGCGUUAAUCGGAAUUACUGGGCGUAAAGCGCGCGUAGGUGGUUCGUUAAGUUGGAUGUGAAAUCCCCGGGCUCAACCUGGGAACUGCAUUCAAAACUGACGAGCUAGAGUAUGGUAGAGGGUGGUGGAAUUUCCUGUGUAGCAGUGAAAUGCGUAGAUAUAGGAAGGAACACCAGUGGCGAAGGCGACCACCUGGACUGAUACUGACACUGAGGUGCGAAAGCGUGGGGAGCAAACAGGA
rnacentral:rRNA from 1 species